CGGUGAAGUCCCUUGCGGAUGGAGCUAUUGAGAGUCGCAGAUACCAGGUGGCUGCAACUGUUUAUUAAAAACACAGCACUGUGCAAAAUCGUAAGAUGACGUAUACGGUGUGACGCCUGCCCGGUGCCGGAAGGUUAAUUGAUGGGGUUAGACUUCGGUCGAAGCUCUUGAUCGAAGCCCCGGUAAACGGCGGCCGUAACUAUAACGGUCCUAAGGUAGCGAAAUUCCUUGUCGGGUAAGUUCCGACCUGCACGAAUGGCGUAAUGAUGGCCACGCUGUCUCCACCCGAGACUCAGUGAAAUUGAAAUCGCUGUGAAGAUGCAGUGUACCCGCGGCUAGACGGAAAGACCCCGUGAACCUUUACUACAGCUUGGCACUGAACAUUGAGCCUACAUGUGUAGGAUAGGUGGGAGGCUUUGAAGCAGGUACGCCAGUAUCUGUGGAGCCGACCUUGAAAUACCACCCUUGUAUGUUUGAUGUUCUAACUUAGCCCCAUUAUCUGGGGUGAGGACAGUGCCUGGUGGGUAGUUUGACUGGGGCGGUCUCCUCCCAAAGAGUAACGGAGGAGCACGAAGGUGGGCUAAUCACGGUUGGACAUCGUGAGGUUAGUGCAAUGGCAUAAGCCCGCUUGACUGCGAGAAUGACAAUUCGAGCAGGUGCGAAAGCAGGUCAUAGUGAUCCGGUGGUUCUGAAUGGAAGGGCCAUCGCUCAACGGAUAAAAGGUACUCCGGGGAUAACAGGCUGAUACCGCCCAAGAGUUCAUAUCGACGGCGGUGUUUGGCACCUCGAUGUCGGCUCAUCACAUCCUGGGGCUGAAGUCGGUCCCAAGGGUAUGGCUGUUCGCCAUUUAAAGUGGUACGCGAGCUGGGUUUAGAACGUCGUGAGACAGUUCGGUCCCUAUCUGCCGUGGGCGUUGGAAGAUUGAAGGGGGCUGCUCCUAGUACGAGAGGACCGGAGUGGACGAACCUCUGGUGUUCGGGUUGUGUCGCCAGACGCAUUGCCCGGUAGCUAAGUUCGGAAUCGAUAACCGCUGAAAGCAUCUAAGCGGGAAGCGAGCCCUGAGAUGAGUCUUCCCUGAUACUUUAAGUAUCCUAAAGGGUUGUCGGAGACUACGACGUUGAUAGGUCAGGUGUGUAAGUGCUGUGAGGCAUUGAGCUAACUGAUACUAAUUGCCCGUGAGGCUUAACCAUACAACACCCAAGGGGUUU
rnacentral:rRNA from 1 species